CUUUGUCAACAAACAAAUCCGCCGAGUGUGUUGUCCAGGUAACCAGGGAAUUAAAUUUACCGACAGUUUGUAGUUAAUUGUCGUUUAUCCCAAAACAUUAUCUGACCAACAGCUGCUGUGUGGUCGCACUACAUUAAAUAGCUGCCGUCCAUCAUAAAACCCGCUAGUUUAGCUGAUUAACUAGCUCGCUAGCUAGGUUGCUAGCCUCGUUCGCUCUCUAAAUUAGCUCGCUCGCUCGCUCGUUCGCUAGCUAGCUAAUUUCUUAGCUUGUUAAUUAGCUUAGUGUUUACUUACUUUACUGACAUAGAGGAAACUGAAAAGAAGGGAGGAGAUACUGGACAAGAGACCGAGAGAAGAAGAAAGAGCGAAGCAAAGCUGCCUUGUUCUCAGAUCUCAGCAGCAACUCAUCGAUGGCAGGUUUCUGGAGAUGCUGCAGGUUGUACAGGGACAGAUCCAGGUCUACAGGCGGCACAACUGGCUCCUAAAACCUCCAUCUGUGCUUCACCAUGGCUCAAAACUCAACCUCAGACCUUUCCAUCGUUCAGCAGAGACCUCCCCACGUGAGAGUGAGUGCAGGGGCUGGGGCGUGGAGAGACCUGUUUGACCAUUAAAAGAUCCUCGGCAGCGGAGGGAGGAAAGGUGUUAACCAGGAGGCUCAGAUGCUCUGACUUCCUGUGGCCGAGCUUCCCCGGAGCGAGCGGUACGAAGAACACUGGGGGUAAAUAAAAGAUUCAUUUUCACAACUUGUUCAUGCAGUCAUCCUAAAGACCGGCACAGCGUAGGCCCUCACCCUGGUGAUGUAAUGGCAUGACACAUUAAAAACACACACACUCACACACAAACACACAAUAAAAGGCUGAUUACAGACACACAACUGUGAGGCUCGGGAAAAUGUCACAGCAGCACCAGUGUCACACUCACUCACAUCCCACACUGCUGAGGAGAAAGAAAAAAAA